GCCCGGAUGAUGGAAUGGUAGACAUGAUGGACUCAAAAUCCAUUGCUCGAAAGGGCGUGCGGGUUCGAGUCCCGCUCCGGGCA
rnacentral:tRNA from 1 species